GGUAGGAUAAGUAAAAUUGUACCAGAAAUUUUGAUCAAAAGAAAAGAUGGAAUGUGAUUUUUUUUCUUUGGCAAAGUCACUUUCUUUUUGCGAAAGUUUGUUUUUAUUUGGGGGAAGGGGGGGGGGGGGUCUUUUAUUUUCUUUUUUCGUGUUCAUCAAAGCAUGAUGGUUUUAUUAUACUAUUAACAGCAACACUGAUGAGGAUUUUGUAUCCGAAAUAUGUAUAUAAUUUUAUUUUCAUUGCUAUUACUAGAAAUAUUUUGAUUUAAAUUUCGUUUCUGCAUUGUAUAUACCAUAGAUUGUAUAUAUAUACAUGUAGAUUAGUUUUGUUUUUGUUUGACCAACUCAAAUGAGAGAGGAUUGUUGCUUGUGUGUUUAAUUACAGUUUUUGAUGACUAGCUACAUGUAAGAGUCUAAAGCUCUCUACAUUUAAAGACUGGGGUUUGGUGUCAGUAAGAAGAAGGUUUCAUUCAACAUGUCAUUAUAAACGUAAUACACUAUUAAUGCACACAUUGAAAUCAAAACAAACUCAUUGUAUUUUUAAGUACAGCGCCUUUAAGUGUAAUUCAUUUCUACUUAUCAAUUAUUUUGUUUCUUUUGCUAAAUGAUUAAGAAGAUUAGAGUUGCCGGUUCAAAAUACACAAUUUUUAGCCAUAAUUUUUUCAUCAGAGGGGACCUUGAAGUGACCCAGAUGGAGAGUGGUUCUGCUGUUUUCAGGACGUUUUAUCUAUAUUUUAACUAAGAUAUAACUGAAACACAUUAAUUUGGUUCACAGGUGUUUAUUACCUGAUAUUUGAAUAAAUAAACAUUCAAAAUAAAAGUAUCGUUUAUGUAUAGUUAC
rnacentral:sRNA from 1 species